CAAGUACCGUGAGGGAAAGUUGAAAAGCACUCUGAAUAGAGAGUUAAAUAGUACGUGAAACCGCUUAGGGGUUAAGCCUGAUGAACCCGAAUAUUUGAAAUGAGAAAUUCAUUAUCAUUUAGUAGUUUCAUUUGAAGCGAACAAUGAUAUGCACUUUUCUCAGUGUAAAACAUUGCAAUCUAUUUGUAUAUCCGUAUGGAUGGUUUAUCAAAUGGCCCGUAUGGUUUGUUCAUUCCUAUCAGUAACAUUUUAUGUUAUAUGGUUGAUGCCAUAGCGGUGACCUGGUAAACAGCAGAUAGUUUUUAAAAAUCAUGCAACCACAUUUUAUGUGUAUCACGGUUUAUGUGCUGUUUUCAGUGCGUGAAUGCAGUGAUAGCAUGCAUUUGAUUGGCAAUGCGAUAGGUUUGGGAACCUUCAGGACCCGUCUUGAAACACGGACCAAGAAGUCUAACAUGUGUGCGAGUCAUUGGGUAUAUUGUUGAAACCUAAGGGCGCAAUUAAAAUAACUAUUUUAUGGGAUUACAAGUGAAUUAAAUUUCAUUUCUUCAUCCCGGGGCGUUCUAUACGAACAUGGUGCAAGCAAUUGAAUCCUCUGUUCAAGAGCGUACCUUGAGCAUACAUGCUGUGACCCGAAAGAUGGUGAACUAUACCUGAUCAGAUCGAAGCCAGGAGAAAUUCUGGUGGAGGAUCGAAACAGUUCUGACGUGCAAAUCGAUUGUCAGAAUUGGGUAUAGGGGCGAAAGACCAAUCGAACCAUCUAGUAGCUGGUUCCCUCCGAAGUUUCCCUCAGGAUAGCUGGCGCAAGAAUUAUAUUGUAUAUAAUCUUAUCUGGUAA
rnacentral:rRNA from 1 species